CAGUCGCCACGGGAAUACGAAGGGGGCUAGCGUUGUCCGGAUUUACUGGGCGUAAAGGGCGCGUAGGCGGGCGAUUAAGUCAGAGGUGAAAUCCCAAGGCUCAACCUUGGAACUGCCUUUGAUACUGGUUGUCUUGAGUCCGGGUGAGGUGAGUGGAACUGCGAGUGUAGAGGUGAAAUUCGUAGAUAUUCGCAAGAACACCAGUGGCGAAGGCGGCUCACUGGCCCGGAACUGACGCUGAGGCGCGAAAGCGUGGGGAGCAAACAGGAUUAGAUACCCCUGUAGUCCCUGUCUCUUAUAC
rnacentral:rRNA from 1 species